rnacentral:lncRNA from 1 species
UAGGAGAUUUAUGGUAAUAGGACAGGGACACCAGGAAGUCAGUUAAAGGAAAGGCUGGAUCUUACACUCCUCCCCCCACACUACUUCCUGUCCCUUUCUCCAAUGAUCUAAAGAUUCUUCUCAGGAAUGGCUUAUCAGAGCAACCAGCAUCACUGCUCAUAUCUGGGGCCAUUAUUCAUAACUAAAUAGCAUCAAUGAAACAAAAAGAAGCCCUGCUCCGAUACAGACACAAUCUGUUCCAAGCAAGAACUCUGGACAAAGAUUGAUGCCAGGAGCUCACAUUUGAUGCAAAACAAUAUUAACAUUUCUCAGAGAGAGAAUGAGCGUGACUAGUUCGACUGCUGUGAGGCUUCAUGCUGCUUGGGAAAAUGGUAAGGAUUUAGCACAUAAUUGAACAUGUUAAUUUUAUAUAUUUUUCUGCCUUUUUUUUGAUUGCCAAUCCCAUAGACUAGAAUGUGUAUGUGUUGAUUUGCAUUACAAUGAGGUCCUACUGUAAAUACAAGAUAAUUUGAGGAGUGAUACUAUUAACAAUGGGAGGAUCUGGGAAGUAAAUAUUUCUUUAGAAGGUGAACCUAGAUGGAAGCUAAUGAUUCUUCUUUUUUUUUAACCUUUUUUUUUUAAAUCCUCACCUUCCAUUUUAGACUCAAUACUGUGUAUUUGUUCCAAGGCAGAAGAGAGGUAAGGGCUAGGCCCAAGGUCAGACACCUAGGAAGUGUCUGAGGCUUUUGAUUUGAACCCAGAACCUUCUGUCUCUGGCCCUGACUCUCAAUCCACUGAUCUACCCAGCUGCCCCCUUUAACCUUAUUUUAUGUCCUAGUAGCAACUUAACAGAAGGGCACGGGCUAGGCAAAAGGGAUUAAAUAAUUUCUCCAGGGUCACACAGCCAGGAAGUAUCUAAGGCCAGAUUGGAACCCAGGUCCUCUGGACAUCAGGCCUGGCUUUCUAUCCACUAUGCCACCUAGCUGCCUCAGGAGUUAAGGAUUCUAAGAAGUCAGGAGGGAGCUCAGGAGAGAUAAAGGAGUAGGGGUGGGAAGUGAAAUGUGA